AAUGUAUAUAAGGAGUGGACGAGCUUUAUAAAUUAUAAAGUGAUAAAACCAUAUUCUAUUUCAUACAUGCAAAUGGGAAAAUAUAUGGCUCAGAUUCUCAAGUUUGUUUAUGUUAUAAUUAUCUUUCUCUCCUCAUUUUCAGUUGCAAUGAAUAAUAAUGCAGGCUAUUAUGAAUGUACUACAGAUCAAUGUAGAGCAUAAGGGUUUUGCCCGGAAAAUAGGGUAGUAAAGUGUUUGGUUAGUUUUGAAUUAGCCCACUUAUUCUCAACAGGCACAUGUAUAUGUGUAGGGGUGUAACGGUUUGAUUUGGAUCGGUUUUUGGUCAAAAAAAUGUCCAAACCAAUGAAAUUUUCAUCUGUUCAGUUUUUACUGUUUUUUAAAAAAGAAACCAAACCAAAUUAGUCGGUUUGGAUCGGUUCGGUUGAUCGAUUUGUUUGAACAUAUAAUUAAAAAAAUCCAUAUUUUCAUAAAUUUAUAUUUCAUUCAUACAA